GUGAAAGGCAACAUGGUGCGAAAGCCCAUGACGCAAAGCUACCGGUCUAAGGGGCAUUCGAUGCGAAUAUCGCCUACGACAGCGGGGCUACCA
rnacentral:ncRNA from 1 species